CGACGACCGUUACCCGCUGGGCCCCGCGACUGCCCGGGCCUGCGCUCGCUCCGAGGCUGAGGCGGCGGGGAUGACGGCUUUGCUGCGAGAAUAUUCAUCCUUGAAUGAUGCAGGCCACUGCACUGGUGGAGAUGGCUUCUGGUAAAGGCUACCAUAGUAGUGGAGAAAACCUCCAAAAAGAUCUAUCUUCUGAUUCUAAGAAAUCUUCCAAUGCUUGUAAUGAAGUCAAACUGACUUUUCCUGAUCAUGAAUGGGAUUCCUUGGCACUAGAGCCAAGAGCCAGUGUCAGAGAAAUCAGUAAUACUGACACAACACGUUUAUUGGAGUCAUCUUUUUCAGAAAAUCAAGACACUAAUAUACAGAGUGCUCACUCUCAAUCAAGCAAGUUUGAAGACAGUAUCGACUAUGUUUUUAUGAAUGAAAUAUACUGUAUAUAUUCGGAGUCAGAACUAAAGAAUGAAAACACUACUAAUUUAAAUUCAGAAUUAGAUUCUGAAAUAGAAAAAAGAGAGGAAGCGUUUUUUGAUAUUUUGAAACUUCAAGGUACUAGAACUGUUGCCUUGGAAAGAAUCUGUGAGAUUUCAAAUGCUGACUAUGAAGAAACUGCUGGAGAAAUGCAGAAGGAUGUUAUAGAGGAAGACUCACAGCAGGAANNNNNNNNNNNNNNNNNNNNNNNNNNNNNCAGGAAUAUCGUGCAGAAGAACAAGAAUAUAUAAGUAACCAUUUAUCUUUUGUCCAAGCAAAAACAUCAAGUAUAUCUAAUCUGGAAGUUGAAUUAAGAAAUUCAGGUCAUGAAGUUCAAAGUGCUAGCAAUCUAGAAGAUAAUCCCAUUAAAUUGGAAAGUAGUUCUGUUAUCUCUUCAGAUUCACUUAAUGUUGUUGCACAAGAAUAUACACCUUGUGUCUCUAAAUUUCAGAAUUGUGAUCUGUUAAAAGAGUAUUAUGAACCAAAGUAUGAAAAGUGUAAGGAACAAGAGACUAGUUUAAUGUAUCCCAUAGUAUUUGUACAAAGAGGUAAUUCUCUCGGAAAUGAAGAAUCUCAGGCUAAGAAUGAUUUCUUGAACCCCCAAACAGCACUGAAAACUAAAACGUGUACUGAAACAAUGAAAUCUCAGAUUUCUGAAAAUAAAGAUUUUUGUGGAAAUGCAGUUGUCAAGAACAGAAUCUCACAGCACCUUGAAAAUCCUAGCACAAUCUCCCAGGACAGAGCUUUAGAGACACUACAGGAAUCCUCUAAGGUUUGCCAAACUUCCUGGUCCUCUAUUUUUGAUGACUCAGUCAUCUCUGCCUAUGGAUGUUCACAUUAUGAAAGCCUACAAAGCACGCCUGACCCAGCCUUGGGUUUUGCUGUCCCACCAAGGAUUGCCAUAAGAGAUGACCAGACAAUCAAAGAAGAUAGCUCCCUAAAAGCUAUAAAUGGCAAUAACAUGAAUAAAGCAUGCUCUGAGGAGGAUGGAAAAGGAACAUACCCUAAAUCAGUGAUAGAUGCAGCAGGUUGUACAGUCACAGUACAUCAAACAGUGGAUGUUAGCACAGAUUUUAGGGCUUGUUUCACAACCAGCAGAGCAACAAAUGCAAGACCUUCGGUAGUAUCUACAUCAAGCAACACGGAGGUAACAAUGAUGAGUAAAAAGCGGCCCAGCAAAUGGCAAAGUGGAAAACAAAAAAGUGUGGCUUGUAACACAGAUUGGUCAUAUGGUCAAGAUGGUGUGGAUACACCAGUGGCUAUAACAAAAGGGUCAGGAAAAUCUCUCUCAGUUGACAGUUCACAGCCCAAUGGAAAUUUCCAAAAUAAGGAUUCCCUGGAAUUAAAAACAUAUGAUAACACAGACUUAAAGAAACAUCCUGACAGGGAAUUUCAGCUUUCUGAAGAGGUGGAGAAGAGUUCGCCAUCACAGUGCUGUAAGAAAGUGAUGCAGAGACUUAUGGAAGCAGAGAUGCACCUUUUAAAUGCUCGCUAUGAGAUGUGUCGUCGUCACUGCUGGGACAUUUACAAACUUACCGUGGAGAAUAAAGGGUUAAAUAGGAAUUUACUAAGUAGUUCUGCUCAGAAGGAAUUAGGAUCAGCACUACUGUCCAUUUCAGGAGACUUAAAAGUCAGAUAUACAAAUUUAAAAGAAAAAAUACACAAGGGCAUACCAUUGGAAGAGCUGCCCCUGCUGUCAGUAGAAUCAAAAUUAUUAAUUACCUUCUCUACUUUUGUUUCCAGGCUAAUGAAAGAAGAAUCACAUGAGUAAGUUAUAAUGUCAUCUAAGUUAGAAUUUAUUUGAUCUUAAAAAUUGCUUAAUUCAGUUAACUUUAAAUUUUGUUUUGAUUCCUGUUCAGAAAAUUGCUAACUCCUUUAAUGAAAUGUCUGUCUUUAGCUUUUCAGGAGCAGAUUCUGAACUAAAUGAUCAAACUGCAUCUGCUAGUGAAGUUUCUCCAAGCCUAAAAGAGACACACUCUCAAGUGAGAUUUUUUUUUUAAGUUCAUCAGUAUAAAGCUUUAAUUUUAUGGCCUAAAUAAGCUGUAAUUUUUAGAAACCCUUACUCACAUCCUUCUUUUCAUUUUUACUGGUUUACUUUGUAUAUUACCAUUUGAGGAAUAUAACUGAUUAAAACAAACUAAUCUGUUUAAGUACCGUGCUGCUUAAACCUGUCAGCAAUACUGUAUGUGAUGACUAAUUUAUCAUCAAACCUGGGGACUUAGAGGGUAGAAAGAAGUAAUGUUAAUAAUUGACCCUAGCAGUAGGUACAAACCUGGACUGUCCCAGGAAAAUUAUGAUAGAUUGCCACCAUAUUGACCCAAUAGUGUUAAAACUAGUAUCUUAAACCUUCAUCUCAUGAAGUAGAGUAAAACAGUUUCCCAUUCAUUUUGAACAAGGCAGUUUUAAUUUCUUCCUUUAUUAAAUGUCUCAGAUUUUCUUAAUAUCUCUUGUUACCCCAAGGAAAUUUUCAGAUGACAAUCAAGAAAGAUGGCUUAAUUGGUGUAAGAGCACUGCAGAUUGUGAAAUAAUAUAGAAAUAUAGUUUAUAUUCCAUUUAUAAGUGAGGAGCCUGUGGCAUGGGAAAGCUAAAGUUUGUUUCUACUUUUCU
rnacentral:lncRNA from 1 species